GGCCGACUGGCGAAAUGGCAUCGCGUCUGACUACGAAUCAGGAGAUUGCAGGUUCGACCCCUGCGUCGGUCA
rnacentral:tRNA from 1 species